UACGGAGGGUGCGAGCGUUGUCCGGAAUCACUGGGCGUAAAGGGCGCGUAGGCGGCAGGCCAAGCGUGCGGUGAAAGUCCGGGGCUCAACCCCGGAUCUGCCGUGCGGACUGGUUUGCUAGAGCACUGUAGAGGCGAGUGGAAUUCCGGGUGUAGCGGUGGAAUGCGUAGAGAUCCGGAAGAACACCGGUGGCGAAGGCGGCUCGCUACACAUAUAUUGACUCUGAGGCACGAAAGCGUGGGGAUCAAACAGG
rnacentral:rRNA from 1 species